rnacentral:rRNA from 1 species
ACUCAAAUGAAUUGACGGGGACCUGCACAAGUGGAGGAGCGUGUGGUUUAAUUCGACAGCAAGCGAAGAACCUUACCGAGGCUUGACAUCUCCGGAAAGCUCUGGAAACAGAGCCGUGCCGCAAGGAGCCGGAUGACAGGUGCUGCACGGUUGUCGUCAGCUCGUGCUGUGAAGUGUCCCGUUCAGUCGGUUAACGAGCGCAACCCCUAUCCCGUGUUGUAUUUUUCACAGGAAACUGCCCUAGUUAAUAGGGAGGAAGGUGGGGAUGACGUCAAAUCAGCGUGGCUCUUACGCCUCGGGCUACACACGCGCUACAAUGGGGAGUAACAAUGGGUCGCCAAAUCGCAAGAUGGAGCUAAUCCCACCAAACCUCCCCCCAGUUCGGAUUGAGGGCUGAAACCCGCCCCCAUGAAGUCGGAUUCACUAGUAACGGCCGGUCAGCCAUACGGCCGUGAAUACGUUCUCAGGUCUUGUACACACCGCCCGU